CCCUCCAUACUUUCAAAUCUCAAACCCUAAAUCUCCUAAAUCUAUAUCUAAAACUAAUAAUUAAAAUACAUCUUUUCUGUGUGUAUAUAUCCGGUAUUAAAGAAUGAUAUACUGUUCAAAAAAAAAAAGAAAAAAUAAUGGUAUGAUAAAGGACGUGGUUGUUGAUUCGCACCCAGAUUCAUUCAAGGAGAAACAGAUUUUUCACGCACAGCUAGCUUUGGUUCAAUGCUUCCUUUCAUAUUCCUCAUUUGAGGGCGACUAAAUACAGAGGGACUAGGCUAUCAAGGAACAGGAGGACUGUAAUCGUGCCUAUGGAGGUGUGUGCUAUCUGCCGGUGCUGUGCGAAAGAGGGGUGAGAGUAAACACAAAUGGAGAAAGCAAAGCAGUAGAUGGUUUUGAAGUACGUUUUUCAAAAACUGCCUGCAUAACAACUGGGCAUCCAGUAAAGUGUUGAAGUACAUUUUUGAAGUACGUUUCAUUCUCAUUAUCAACCACCCGUUCAGCAUUCUCAGUUUGGGCGUCCAGUAAAGUGUUGGAGCUAUUCAAUGCCAAUAACAACUCAGCAUCCACAUUUUCAACAUCUUUUGACUCUUGUAAAUUUAAGUUUUCAACAACAAUAGGAUUCAUUGCUAGAGUCUCUUUUAAAUUUACAUUCUCAACAUCAACCAACUCAACUCUA